ensembl:miRNA
GCGGGGUGAGGUAGUAGGUUGUGUGGUUUCCGGGCAGUGAUGCCGCCCCUCGGAAGAUAACUAUACAACCUACUGCCUUCCCCGA